UUUAUCUGGAAUCAAGUAUACAUAUACAAGGAAGAGAAAAAAUGAAGUCUUAUUGCUUAGAGGAGGUAGUAAAAUGAGGGCAAAACGUGCCAAACCUUGCUCCUAGAUUUCAGUUGAAAGGAUCCUUCCUCUGUAUAUUUCCCUUUUCCUAGAUCGUGGCACAACAGACAUAUGUAAGAUUUAGAAUUCUGAAUGAGACGGAUGUGAAAAUAUGAAGAAAACAGAAAGAAGAAGAAAGUACCUAAAGAUUUAGAAAAGGAAAACAAUGUGUAUUGCUGAAAGAUAAACUCUCAGACUGUAUUGAACUACUGCAAUCUGGGCAAUUGGAUAUAAUCUUCCAAUGGUUCACUGAAUAACGGAGAAAACUCCAAUCUUUGUGACAGAAUCUGUAUCUAA
rnacentral:lncRNA from 1 species